GUGAGGAAUAUUGGACAAUGGGUUAGCGCCUGAUCCAGCCAUCCCGCGUGAAGGACGACGGCCCUAUGGGUUGUAAACUUCUUUUGUAUAGGGAUAAACCUACUCUCGUGAGAGUAGCUGAAGGUACUAUACGAAUAAGCACCGGCUAACUCCGUGCCAGCAGCCGCGGUAAUACGGAGGGUGCAAGCGUUAUCCGGAUUUAUUGGGUUUAAAGGGUCCGUAGGCGGAUCUGUAAGUCAGUGGUGAAAUCUCAUAGCUUAACUAUGAAACUGCCAUUGAUACUGCAGGUCUUGAGUAAAUUUGAAGUGGCUGGAAUAAGUAGUGUAGCGGUGAAAUGCAUAGAUAUUACUUAGAACACCAAUUGCGAAGGCAGGUCACUAAGAUUUAACUGACGCUGAUGGACGAAAGCGUGGGGAGCGAACAGGAUUAGAAACCCCAGUAGUCC
rnacentral:rRNA from 1 species